AUUAGAUACCCUGGUAGUCCACGCCGUAAACUAUGGAUGCUAGCUGUUAUUCGUAUCGACCCGAGUAGUAGCGAAGCUAACGCGUUAAGCAUCCCGCCUGUGGAGUACGGUCGCAAGACUAAAACAUAAAGGAAUUGACGGGGACCCGCACAAGCGGUGGAGCGUGUUGUUUAAUUCGAUGGUAAGCGAAGAACCUUACCCAGACUUGACAUCCUUGGAAGCACUGCGAAAGCAGAGUGUGCCUCCGGGAACCAAGUGACAGGUGUUGCAUGGCCGUCGUCAGCUCGUGUCGUGAGAUGUUUGGUUAAGUCCAUCAACGAGCGCAACCCUUGUGGCUAGUUGAAUUUUUCUAGUCAGACUGCCCUGGUAACAGGGAGGAAGGAGGGGAUGAUGUCAGGUCAGUAUUACCCUUACGUCUGGGGCUACAAACACGCUACAAUGGCCGGUACAAAGGGCUGCCAAGUCGCGAGACGGAGCAAAUCCCAUCAAAACCGGUCCCAGUUCGGAUUGCAGGCUGAAACUCGCCUGCAUGAAGUCGGAAUCGCUAGUAACGGUAGGUCAGCACACUACCGUGAAUACGUUCCCGGGUCUUGUACACA
rnacentral:rRNA from 1 species